UCCGUAGGUGAACCUGCGGAAGGAUCAUUACCUUUCAAUGCAGCAGAAUUGGGAUGGUUGAGUAUCUCGCCUUCCAAUUCUGCCUGUAUUCCACCCUUGUUUGUCAUACUAUUAUUUCCUCGGCAGGCUUGCCUGCCGAGUGAAACCAAUUAUAACCUAUUUAAUUUUCAAUCAGCGUCUGAAAAAAAUUAAUAAUUACAACUUUCAACAACGGAUCUCUUGGUUCUGGCAUCGAUGAAGAACGCAGCGAAAUGCGAUAAGUAGUGUGAAUUGCAGAAUUCAGUGAAUCAUCGAAUCUUUGAACGCACAUUGCGCCCCUUGGUAUUCCAUGGGGCAUGCCUGUUCGAGCGUCAUUAUCACCCCUCAAGCCUCCGGUUUGGUGUUGGGCUUUGGCGGUUCGCGAGAACCACCGGCCUCAAAUAUAAUGACGGCGUCCCCGUGAGACUCGACGCACUGAGCUUUUAACCACAAGGCACGCGUCCGUAGCGCUCCGGGUCGACAACCGGUCUCAACUUUUUACCAUUUUAACAAGGUUGACCUCGGAUCAGGUAGGGAUACCCGGCUGAACUUAAGGCAUAUCAAUAAGGCGGGAGGGGAAGGUCGACUGGCCAAGGGCACACAGGGGGGGGAUA
rnacentral:rRNA from 1 species